CUCGGAAGCUAAGCAGGGUCGGGCCUGGUUAGGAUCUUGGAUGGGAGACCACCUGGGAAUCCCGGGUGCUCGAGG
ensembl:rRNA 5S_rRNA 5S ribosomal RNA